GAUGAACGCUGGCUACAGGCUUAACACAUGCAAGUCGCGGGACCGGCGCACGGGUGAGUAACGCGUAUCCCACCUGCCCUUCACCACGGGAUAACCCGGCGACAGUCGGACUAAUACCGUAUGGUGAAGGCUGGGGAGGCGUGGGAUUAGUUUGACGGCGGGGUAAUGGCCCACCGUGGCUACGAUCGGUAGGGGGUCUGAGAGGAAGGUCCCCCACACUGGAACUGAGACACGGUCCAGACUCCUACGGGAGGCAGCAGUGAGGAAUAUUGGUCAAUGGGCGUAAGCCUGAACCAGCCAAGUAGCGUGCAGGACGACGGCCUAUGGGUUGUAAACUGCUUUUAUGCGGGGAUAGGUACCGCAUGAAUAAGGACCGGCUAAUUCCGUGCCAGCAGCCGCGGUAAUAC
rnacentral:rRNA from 1 species